UGCCGGAUAUCCUUAAGGAAAUUCACAUUAUCGCUCUUUAAUCUUUCCUAAAUUUUCGACAUUAUUAGAGACCUUUUUGUCUUUCUAUUAUUCCUCAGACCUUUUUGUCUUUCUAUUAUUCCUAUCUCCUUCCUCCCUGCAACGCCCAUUUAGUUUUGUAUAUAUAUUUUACACAUUGGUCAUGGGCAAAUGGCAAAAUUAACGAAAAAUCGAGGAAGGAGUAGGUUUUUAAAUUUUUGUAAAGCCAU
rnacentral:lncRNA from 1 species